rnacentral:rRNA from 1 species
GACGAACGCUGGCGGCGUGCCUAAUACAUGCAAGUAGAACGCUGAAGAGAGGAGCUUGCUCUUCUUGGAUGAGUUGCGAACGGGUGAGUAACGCGUAGGUAACCUGCCUGGUAGCGGGGGAUAACUAUUGGAAACGAUAGCUAAUACCGCAUAAAAUUGAUUAUUGCAUGAUAAUUAAUUGAAAGAUGCAAUUGCAUCACUACCAGAUGGACCUGCGUUGUAUUAGCUAGUUGGUGAGGUAACGGCUCACCAAGGCGACGAUACAUAGCCGACCUGAGAGGGUGAUCGGCCACACUGGGACUGAGACACGGCCCAGACUCCUACGGGAGGCAGCAGUAGGGAAUCUUCGGCAAUGGGGGGAACCCUGACCGAGCAACGCCGCGUGAGUGAAGAAGGUUUUCGGAUCGUAAAGCUCUGUUGUAAGAGAAGAACGGGUGUGAGAGUGGAAAGUUCACACUGUGACGGUAUCUUACCAGAAAGGGACGGCUAACUACGUGCCAGCAGCCGCGGUAAUACGUAGGUCCCGAGCGUUGUCCGGAUUUAUUGGGCGUAAAGCGAGCGCAGGCGGUUAGAUAAGUCUGAAGUUAAAGGCUGUGGCUUAACCAUAGUAUGCUUUGGAAACUGUUUAACUUGAGUGCAGAAGGGGAGAGUGGAAUUCCAUGUGUAGCGGUGAAAUGCGUAGAUAUAUGGAGGAACACCGGUGGCGAAAGCGGCUCUCUGGUCUGUAACUGACGCUGAGGCUCGAAAGCGUGGGGAGCAAACAGGAUUAGAUACCCUGGUAGUCCACGCCGUAAACGAUGAGUGCUAGGUGUUAGGCCCUUUCCGGGGCUUAGUGCCGCAGCUAACGCAUUAAGCACUCCGCCUGGGGAGUACGACCGCAAGGUUGAAACUCAAAGGAAUUGACGGGGGCCCGCACAAGCGGUGGAGCAUGUGGUUUAAUUCGAAGCAACGCGAAGAACCUUACCAGGUCUUGACAUCCCUCUGACCGCUCUAGAGAUAGAGUUUUCCUUCGGGACAGAGGUGACAGGUGGUGCAUGGUUGUCGUCAGCUCGUGUCGUGAGAUGUUGGGUUACGUCCCGCAACGAGCGCAACCCCUAUUGUUAGUUGCCAUCAUUCAGUUGGGCACUCUAGCGAGACUGCCGGUAAUAAACCGGAGGAAGGUGGGGAUGACGUCAAAUCAUCAUGCCCCUUAUGACCUGGGCUACACACGUGCUACAAUGGCUGGUACAACGAGUCGCAAGCCGGUGACGGCAAGCUAAUCUCUGAAAGCCAGUCUCAGUUCGGAUUGUAGGCUGCAACUCGCCUACAUGAAGUCGGAAUCGCUAGUAAUCGCGGAUCAGCACGCCGCGGUGAAUACGUUCCCGGGCCU